GUGCCCAAUUCCAAGUAAUCUUUAUGCUACAAAUGUCUGACUGCCCAGAAACAAUCUACAGUCAAUGUGGGCCAACUACAUGAAAUGAAAACAACCAAUCUAUAGCAAGAGAGUCAAAUUCGAAGAAUGCACCGAAAAAGGAAGAGACAGAGGAAAUACUUUUUCCCCCAAUGUGCCUUACCCAGUGGUGUCUACUUCUAGAGAAUAGUACAAAGGUGCCUACAGCGAUGGGGUAAUAGAAGAAGGACUGAGGAAAAGGAAUCCAGAGCUAGCCCUCUUCAACCACAGCAGCAACCUUUAUGUGUUUUAUAAAUCGGUCUUC
rnacentral:lncRNA from 1 species